rnacentral:tRNA from 2 species
GCGACAGUAGUUUAGUGGUAUGAUACGUCCCUGCCACGGACGUGACCCGGGUCCGAAUCCCGGCUGUCGCA